GGACGUUACCCGUGUCAGGUCCGAGCGAGAGCAGGACAGGAUCCUCAGGGUCCGAGGUGGCUCAGCGAAUGAGUUCGGCGCUUUUUAAAUCCCUAGUUCAUAAUCAAUCCUACGCGCAAUUUCAUAACUUCCCUUAGAUUAAUAGACUGAUUAUGGGACGAAAUGAUUUACAUGGACUUUAUUUUUCUCCCAAAGUAAAGGUGACUAAAAUCUGUCCACCCUGAAGGGUUCUUUCCAGGGUUUCUAGGCACAACAAGAUAUGUUCCUGGUGCUUGUUUUAAUAUUCUCACCUUCGUUUUUGAAUUUUGAAAUCCAAGUUUUGCGACUAAAAUGCACCGCCAAACUUCCAUGACAAAAUUGCCAUAAAGUUCGCCUCGAUUUCGACUAAAAUUUCAUCAGAUUCAGGGUGAUUUUGGUUGAAUAUGAAUCGAAUUCUUUUCAUUUAGGAACAAAUUUGGUCGGGGAGUUGUAAUCAAAGCUGGGUUUUUUUCUAAUUUUUUUUUGCGAAAUUUAGGGAUUUUCAAUUGUUUAUUUGGAGCCGUUUUGUCAGAAAUUUGGUGAAAUUCUUAUGUAUUCAUGGUGUUGUGUGGAUCUAUUAUCUGUUGCCUGAAUUUUUAUUCAGUUGUCUUUGAUAGUUUGUGGUUUUGGUACCUCUCUUCCUCACUUGAUGUACUGCUUUGUAGGUUUAGGGCUCUAAGACACUGUUUGGACGGUUGUUCAUGAUUGGAUGUAAUGAAGGCAAGGUGUGCACUUUCUUUGUUAAGCUGUUUUUUUUUCUCCAUUAAAGAAAGUCUUAUCAAACAAAGAGGGGAAGGUGCCUGAUCUAUGGUGGCCUGAAUUCCUAGUACCCCGACUCGAAGAUAAAUUACAUCCAUGUUAGCUAGACUGUCUACCAUUAAGCUUGUCAAUAAUGCAUUAGGAUCAAGGUCUACAGAAUGGAUCAUCUAAGGAUACAUCAAGAGCAUUUGUUGCCGGAGUUAUUGGUAAAUUGCUGAUGAUUGGAAGAUUUAACUUGUACACAAUCUAAGCAUAACUGAUGGUGCCUUGAGAAUUUAGAGUGAAACUCUCCAUCUGGGGUAUGAUAUCUGGAAAACAUGUCAAAUAUGUCCAUUUAACUGUCAUAAAAUAUGAUAUUUUCCUCUCAGUAAAGCUGGUAAACCCUUAUCAGCAAUCAUGAGACCAUUUCUUUUGGCUCUAUUGAUACAAUAAAAUUAUCAUAAUUUAUCUCGUUUCCUUUCAUGACAUAUGACUCUCACACCGGCCAUAUCCUACUAAUUAUGCUAUGUGCUUCAAAGAAGGAGAAAUCACAAACUUUCUCAGCACACUAUGAAUAUUGGAUUUAUCUUAACUAUUUUUCAACACUAUGAAUAAUGGACCUAGU